CCUACGGGUGGCAGCAGUGGGGAAUAUUGCACAAUGGGGGAAACCCUGAUGCAGCAACGCCGCGUGAAGGAAGACGGUUUUCGGAUUGUAAACUUCUGUUCUUAGUGAAGAAUAAUGACGGUCGCUAAGGAGCAAGCCACGGCUAACUCCGUGCCAGCAGACGCGGUAAUACGUAGGUUGCAAGCGUUGUCCGGAUUUACUGGGUGUAAAGGGAGCGCAGGCGGGAAGCCAAGUCAGCUGUGAAAACUACGGGCUUAACUUGUAGACUGCAGUUGAAACUGGUUUUCUUGAGUGAAGUAGAGGAUGUUGGAAUUCCGGGUGUAGCGGUUAAAUGCGUAGAUAUUCGGAGGAACACCGGUGGCGAAGGCGGCCAACUGGGCUUUAACUGACGCUGAGGCUCGAAAGUGUGGGAAGCAAACAGGAUUAGAUACCCUGGUAGUC
rnacentral:rRNA from 1 species